ACGCUGGCGGCAGGCUUAACACAUGCAAGUCGAACGGUAACAGGGAUUAGCUUGCUAAUUUGCUGACGAGUGGCGGACGGGUGAGUAAUGCUUGGGAAUCUGGCUUAUGGAGGGGGAUAACUACGGGAAACUGUAGCUAAUACCGCGUAAUAUCGGAAGAUUAAAGGGUGGGACUUUCGAGCCACCUGCCAUAAGAUGAGCCCAAGUGGGAUUAGGUAGUUGGUUAGGUAAAGGCUGACCAAGCCGACGAUCUCUAGCUGGUCUGAGAGGAUGACCAGCCACACUGGAACUGAGACACGGUCCAGACUCCUACGGGAGGCAGCAGUGGGGAAUAUUGCACAAUGGGGGGAACCCUGAUGCAGCCAUGCCGCGUGAAUGAAGAAGGCCUUCGGGUUGUAAAGUUCUUUCGGUGACGAGGAAGGUUGAUAGGUUAAUAGCCUAUCAAAUUGACGUUAAUCACAGAAGAAGCACCGGCUAACUCCGUGCCAGCAGCCGCGGUAAUACGGGGGGUGCGAGCGUUAAUCGGAAUAACUGGGCGUAAAGGGCACGCAGGCGGUGACUUAAGUGAGAUGUGAAAGCCCCGAGCUUAACUUGGGAAUUGCAUUUCAUACUGGGUCGCUAGAGUACUUUAGGGAGGGGUAGAAUUCCACGUGUAGCGGUGAAAUGCGUAGAGAUGUGGAGGAAUACCGAAGGCGAAGGCAGCCCCUUGGGAAUGUACUGACGCUCAUGUGCGAAAGCGUGGGGAGCAAACAGGAUUAGAUACCCUGGUAGUCCACGCUGUAAACGAUGUCGAUUUGGGGAUUGGGCUUUGAGCUUGGUGCCCGUAGCUAACGUGAUAAAUCGACCGCCUGGGGAGUACGGCCGCAAGGUUAAAACUCAAAUGAAUUGACGGGGGCCCGCACAAGCGGUGGAGC
rnacentral:rRNA from 1 species